rnacentral:rRNA from 1 species
AUGAUGGAUCCCCCCUCCGGCAGGGUGCCGGAACAGGGUCCCGAUUGGUUUUUGUUGGCUACAGAGGCUUGUGGCGGCGGAACUUCCAAUCUAGGUUUCUUUUUGGGGGUUUCUGUAUUUAUAGGAAUUUUUUGCGUCGGUCUCACGUCAGGGGGUGGGGGGUCUCUGAGUCAUCCACGAGGCAGGGGGCAUGCCCUCCACCCUCGUGGAUGGCUCGGGACUCUUCUGGCCCAACUCUUUUACUUCGGGGGCUUCUUUUGGUCCAUAAAAAAUCCACAAAAAUUGGCAGGUCAAUUGUACUCCGUUUGGUAUUCCUUUUCUGUAAAACUCAAAAACAAGGAAAAAACAGAAACUGGCACUGGGCUCUAG